rnacentral:rRNA from 1 species
GAUGAACGCUAGCGGCAGGCCUAACACAUGCAAGUCGAGGGAGAAGCCCUUUCGGGGGCCGAAACCGGCGCACGGGUGCGUAACGCGUAUGCAACCUACCUUUCACAGGGGGAUAGCCCGAAGAAAUUUGGAUUAAUACCCCAUAAUAUUAUUGGAUGGCAUCAUUUGAUAAUUAAAACUGCGGUGGUGAAAGAUGGGCAUGCGUCCUAUUAGCUAGUUGGAGUGGUAACGGCACCCCAAGGCUACGAUAGGUAGGGGUCCUGAGAGGGAGAUCCCCCACACUGGUACUGAGACAGGGACCAGACUCCUACGGGAGGCAGCAGUGAGGAAUAUUGGUCAAUGGUCGGAAGACUGAACCAGCCAUGCCGCGUGCAGGAAGAAUGCCUUAUGGGUUGUAAACUGCUUUUAUAGGGGAAGAAUAAGGCGUACGUGUACGUUGAUGACGGUACCAUAUGAAUAAGCAUCGGCUAACUCCGUG